CCUACGGGAGGCAGCAGUGGGGAAUAUUGGACAAUGGGCGAAAGCCUGAUCCAGCCAUGCCGCGUGAGUGAUGACGGCCUUCGGGUUGUAAAGCUCUUUUAGAUGGGAAGAUAAUGACGGUACCAUCAGAAUAAGCCCCGGCUAACUUCGUGCCAGCAGCCGCGGUAAUACGAAGGGGGCAAGCGUUGUUCGGAAUUACUGGGCGUAAAGGGUGCGUAGGCGGUCCGCCAAGUCAGAUGUGAAAGCCCAGGGCUCAACCCUGGAACUGCAUUUGAAACUGGUAGACUAGAGUAUUGGAGAGGUAAGUGGAAUUCCCAGUGUAGAGGUGAAAUUCGUAGAUAUUGGGAAGAACAUCAAUGGCGAAGGCAGCUUACUGGACAAUUACUGACGCUGAGGCACGAAAGCGUGGGAGCAAACAGGAUUAGAUACCCUGGUAGUCCACGCCGUAAACGAUGUGUGCUAGACGUCGGGUCGUUUCACGACUCGGUGUCGCCGCUAACGCAUUAAGCACNCCGCUGGGNGNGUCGNANAUAAUAAGAAUAG
rnacentral:rRNA from 1 species